CACACCCAACCACUUAUUCUUUAAUCUGAAACACAUUAUUUCCGUGUUGAUUCGUGUUAGAUUCACGGAUCGUGUGUGAAAUUGGCAAGUUAAGGCACCGUACACUUGAAACGACGAAUGUGCCCCAUCAUGUAGAAGUAUCACUUGCAGUACUUUAACAACUCUUUAUGGAAUUUUCAAUUUUGUGCUGCAUGGAAAUGGUUUGGUGACUGAUCCAACUGCUUGGCGCAACUCAUGAUAUCUGGUGUUUGAAUUUCAUAUUUGACAAUCAAAAGGUGUUUGGAGCGGAGCUUCUUCUACGCAACAAUGGAGGACGUGAUCUUCACUGGGAGAAAAAGAUGGCUGCAUAAACCAAAGAAGGCUAUUCUCAUUCUUUUGAAGGUGAAUCGUUCGUGACCGAUCUGCAUUAACUUGAGUUCUUCUGGAUGCUGCAACAAAUUGACUCAGAGUAAGUUGGCUCAUGCCUUGCAUUGGCUGCUUUUCAGAGGGUGGACGGUCAUUUGAUCCUGAAGAUCGAGAAGUAGUCACUGUUGUGGCAAAAUGGACAGUGUGGUUUCUUUCCCUACAGUUUUCCGAGGGGUUUUCUGGAGGAGUGUCACUGCUGGUACAUUGGAAAUGCAAACCGAAGGGAAUUGAAGCAUAAACUGGUUUUUCCAUGAAGAGAGAAGGACAAAAGGUAACUGCUAUGAGGUAAUUGCACUGAAAGAUGAAUGAAUAACACGCGAAGUAAUUAUAUCAUUGGGAGUCUUUAGGUUGAGUUCAAAUAUCCAAGUCCAAAUUCUAAAAUGGAAAAUUACCUUGAGCACAUAAAAUGAAUCCGGCCAUUUAACAUAUAACGUAAUGAAUUGAAUACCUUUUCUCUACAAAGAAAUUUAUUUAAUGUGCACAAUUAUAUGGGAAGAAGUGUUUUGAAAUGAGAAAUAUUUUCAAGGAUCGGGGGUGUCAGCCUAAGUUUUUUUAUUUUUUUUUUAUUUUUUUCAAUUGUGUACAUAUUAAAGUUUUCCAGAAAAAUUGUACCUGGUUAUUUAUAAUGAGCUCAAGAAGAUUUGCUUUUGUGCAACUCCAAUUGUCAUACUCUGAAUUUUACAUCAGGAAUGCGCUGCCAAGAUCUGUGGUAGAUAAGUAAUGCACUAUCAACUUCUGGACUCUUAACUACAAAGUUAACUUCAGGUAACGCUUUUGAAUGAGGCUUUGGGCCGUUACUGAUGGUAUCCAAUUCCAACCCACCCCAUUGCCCAUAUAGAUUCACUGCCCAUGGUCAUGAUGAUGAUUGCUUGACAAUGAAUGAAAGAGCACUGCCCUCUCUGCACAAGGAGGGGAGAAAUGUGAUGCCCCGAAUCUUGUAUUCGGUGAUGCACUGGAAAGACCUAGGAUAUUGUAAGGCUUAAGAAUCCAGAAGUUGACUUUAGCUGGCAAUUUUGGAUGUGUCCUUGGAUAGUUACAUUGGAAUUGAUGGACCUGCUGCAGUUACACAUUACAUCUAUUCUGAAGUCUAGAACUGUUAUAUAAUGAAGAGUUUAUCUCAGUUUUGCAUGCUGAUAAUGUUGGAAAUGAAAAAGCAUGGUAUAUUUUAUCCUAAUUUCAGUAUGCCUGCUGAUCCUCGUUAUGUUAUACCUGCUUUAUGCUUAUUCUAUCGAAUGGGUGUUAUAACUAAUUCUUCUCUUACUACUAAGCCUUCAAUAUUUCAAAUUUUCUUUGUGCAGGAGUCCCACUCUGACUCAUUCAAUAAACUCAAUGUCGGUGACUGCAGAAGAGGUAAUCUUGG